rnacentral:rRNA from 1 species
GACGAACGCUGGCGGCGUGCUUAACACAUGCAAGUCGAACGGAAAGGCCUGCUUUCCCUUGUGGUUUGCGGGUACUCGAGUGGCGAACGGGUGAGUAACACGUUAGUGAUCUGCCCCCAACUUGGGUAUAAGCCUGGGAAACUGGGUAUAAUUUCCGAAAAGACUGAAAGGUGGUGCAUGUGGUGGGAAACGAUUUUCUAGUGGUUGGGGAUGCGCUCGCGGCCUAUCAGCUUGUUGGUGGGGUAAUGGCCGACCAAGGCGGCGACGGGAAGCCGGCCUGGGAGAGUGGACAGUGACAUUGGGACUCAGACAAGGCCCCUACUGCAACGAGCGGCAGGAGUUGGUGAAAGUGCACAGAAGGCGGAAUACAGAAACGCCGACGCCGCGAAGAAGAUCACGGAGUUCUAAUAGUCAACUCCUAUCGACCACGAGGAAGGAACCUAGUUGGAAGCGUGGUGACGGUAGUGUUCGAGGAAGCACCGGCUAACUACGUG